CCUGAAUCGAUGUGAGAGAGAAAGACAAGCUUCGAUUCGUGAGAGUAGAGGCCGGAGAAAGAAAGAGAAGCUUCGAUUUGGAGUUAAGCUUCGAUUUGGAGUUAGGGUUCGUGGGAGAGAGGACGGCGCUGGUGGUGAGUUGAGAGAGAGGACGGCGCUGGUUCUUGCGAAGGUGAGGACGGCGCUGGGUUGCUGCGUUUUGGGUGCGAAUUGAAGGUGAGGACGGCGCUGGGUUUUGGUUCUUCGUACGUGAAGGUGAAGAGGGUGGGUGAGCUGGGUUUAUUUCUUUUGAUAAUUGGGAGAGAGAUA
rnacentral:lncRNA from 1 species